rnacentral:lncRNA from 1 species
AAAAAGGUAGAAGCCCUAUUUGAAUAAACAAAACAAAAGCGGAAAGGAAAAAAAAAACAAAGCAAAUACAAGCCUACGAAACAAAGGCAGCCCUGCUUACUCAGGAGGCCACAAAAAUAUUCUAGGGUUCCUUACAAACCACUAAUCCUUGAACUCAGGUAUAUAAAAUUUCUUAUUGUCAAUUACCCUACAGUAGUAUUAGCUAAGAAUUGAGUAGUUAAUUCCCUUCUUCCUCUAUAUCAUCAAUAAAUUUCAUAUUUAGGUGUAGUACUUUAAAACUGAUUAAAAUAUACCGGUUGUUGUAGAAUCGAUUGUUUGACUGGUAUCAAUUGGAUUGGGACCUACGUAUUGGCUCAAGAAAUUUUGAGGUGAGUUGAUAUAACCCUUUACUAAAGUGGUUUAACUCAUAAAAGCACGCAUACAAGGUAUUUGAUGAAUUGCUUAAAAGAGUUUAUCUUUAUUU